rnacentral:rRNA from 1 species
CGACGAAGAGCCCUCCGCCGGUCCUGAACUAUUUCCCUCCGCCGGCCAUGAUCCCUGCCCCUCGGCUGGUUUUGAGUCGCCCUUUAGAAGAUGCAUCGACGCCGCCUCUCCAAGAUCUCACUGCACCUCCGUCCCCUGCCAUGCCUCAACCUCUUCUUAGCCCUGCACAAGUAAGCAACAUAGUACAGCGGCAUCUGCUUCAUGUACUAAUUGUACUCGUAUGUCGUCAUAGUCUUAUUGCCACAACAUCCUCACUUCCUCAUAGCCCUCCACCUGAUGGUUCAACUAGCACUAACUGAAUCAAGGUAACCCUCAUAGUUGUCCUUCUUCAAUUGUACUUUUGAAGCAUCUGGAUCAAGCUUUUUUGUUUGUUGUUUCGUCAGCUGCUGUGACUCCUGCUCGCCCAACAUACAGCCUUGCACGGACUUAUGUGUAAACUUCCAUCCAACACACACACUUGCUUGUAGUAUUCAGAAAAUUUUGUCUUGUACAAAUUCUCAGAUUACAUCAUUGGAGCACCGUUCAGACUAAAUAAAGAUAAUCAGCAAUGCUUUCACGCUGAGUGAUAACACCUCACAAUAUCAAAAUUGCAUUCAGAUUUUUCGUCUCUACAUCACAAGCUCGCACAACAAAUCUGCUAAAUUUGGUUGGAAGGAGCAACAGCCCAUUCCUCACAGGGGAGCUUCGGCGAGGUGGACGCCUACAUUGGCGCCGUUGGUAGCCCCGCUGGCUAUGGCCUGAUACCUUCGUAGCAUCCACCCGGCGGCGGCGCCAUGGUGGACGGCAGCACCGUAGGUUGUCGCGGUGGGGGAUGGCAGCGCCAUCGGGCGUCGCGGUGGAGGCAGCCCCAUCGUCUGUUGUCGCGGUGGGGAACGGCUCGGCUUCACCGUAGGGGGAGGCCUCGUCGUCGGUCAUCGCGGUGGGGGACGACGGCAGCGCCAUGGUCUUCGCGGUAGGGAGCAGCCAUGGAUAAGGCGAGAUAAGAGUUCAGUUUGGGGAAGAAAUUGUG